UACGUAGGUGGCAAGCGUUGUCCGGAUUUACUGGGCGUAAAGAGCGCGCAGGCGGUCGGCCAAGUCGAGUGUGAAAGCCCCCGGCUCAACUGGGGAGGGUCAUUCGAUACUGGUCGACUCGAAGGCAGGAGAGGGAAGCGGAAUUCCCGGUGUAGUGGUGAAAUGCGUAGAUAUCGGGAGGAACACCAGUGGCGAAGGCGGCUUCCUGGCCUGUUCUUGACGCUGAGGCG
rnacentral:rRNA from 1 species